AUAGUGAAUAAAUAGAUUGUGUUUGUCUGUUCUCUUUCUAGCCUUACUGUAGGUUUGCUUGCUCUAGUUCCGUGUACGCCUGGCUGGGUGAAUGCCUGCACAGUGGUCUACCAGUAUUUGUACAUUUAUGCGAAAAGCGGCCGGGAACAGACAGGCGUGUGGGCGGUUGUGAGUAAUCCUGUUUACUCCGUGUUUCCAUGCACAAGCCGUGUGCCUUGUCUGACUCCGGCUCAGGAAGCACAGUAACGGUAUAACAGCAAUGGAACACACAGCGGCUUGUGAACAUGUGCUUUGUGCCCGUGUGUGAGACAGAGGUUGAGGAGACACAAGACUCCCAGUGUUUAUGGGGAUUUCUGGUGCAAGGAGAACUGUCAAUCAUGUGUCAGUGCACACGCUCUCUGGGCUGUGGUGAUCAGGGUUUGUGGCCAUGAAAUUGUAGUUAGGGUCAUUCAUUCAAAGUAUUAUGCUGCCUGAAACCAUCCUCAGUUUUCCCAUCUGGAGCAUACAUACCUACAGUCUGGUAUCUCAUUUAACACUCAUUUAAUAUAGCUCACACUUAGUAGGAAGAUUAAGCAAUCCCAGGGUUCCCCUGGGCCAAGCUGUGUUUUCUAGUGGCAGUAAUACUACAGUAUAUAUGCUAUAUACGGUGUCAGGGGUUUUUAUGUUUAGGGGUGUUUCUAGUUUGAUUUAAAGGCAAAGUGGUCCAUAUCUAUGUUUAAAAUGUUUUUGUUUUGUGUGUAUUGUGUCGUCUGUAUCAAAAUACAAAAUAUUCCAUUGUAUUGUAUAUUGUAUCAUAUGCUCGUUGUAGAUGAUAAUAAACUCAACAGGUUAAACUGAACCUUAAUUUUUUCUCUCUGUUCUUUUCUCUACACCCCCACCACGUCGUCUUUGUCCUGGAUGGUCUACGUACUUCAUGUCUGACUGAAGGUGGAGGGAAAAUGUCAACUACUGUUGGUCCGACCAAUUCCCCCUCAUCCAGGUGGGCUGUCUGGGAGGCCAUUAGAGGAGUGAUCAAGUGGAGCUUUGUGUCAGAGCGGCCUGACAGCCUGUUAAGAGUGGCUGGCUGUGGGAGACAACUCGGGCUCGAUGGAUGUUUGUAGGGGACUGGGAUAGUUUUUGGAUCACCAGGUGUAUGCAUUACCUCUUAAAUAAAUGGCUGUUGCUGCGCUCUAA